AAGUCGUAACAAGGUUUCCGUAGGUGAACCUGCGGAAGGAUCAUUGUCGAAACCUGCCCAGCAGAACCACAAGAGAACAUGUUCAACGCUCGGGGAGGAGGGGCCUGUCCGCUCUUCCCCGCUUCUCGGGGGGUACUGCUGCGUAUGCAGUGGAACCUUCUGAGCGUAAAACGAACACCGGCGUGUAUUGCGCCAAGGAACUUGAAUGAAAGAGCGUUCCCUCGACGUCCUGGAAACGGUGUGCGCUCGAGUGGUUUCGUCAUCUUCAAUAUGUCUAAACGACUCUCGGCAACGGAUAUCUCGGCUCUCGCAUCGAUGAAGAACGUAGCGAAAUGCGAUACUUGGUGUGAAUUGCAGAAUCCCGUGAACCAUCGAGUUUUUGAACGCAAGUUGCGCCCGAAGCCAUCAGGCCGAGGGCACGUCUGCCUGGGCGUCACACGUCGUUGCCCCCCUCAGCCUCCUCGGAUGCUGGGUGGGACGGAUGAUGGCCUCCCGUGUGCUUGGUCACGCGGUUGGCAUAAAUAUCAAGUCCUUGGCGACUAACGCCACGACAAUCGGUGGUUGUCAAACCUCUGUUGCCUGUCGUGUGYGUGCAUCGCUCGGGGCCUUGUUGACCCAUGUGCAUCACUUUUGUGGUGCUUUCAACGCGACCCCAGGUCAGGCGGGGUU
rnacentral:rRNA from 1 species